rnacentral:rRNA from 1 species
CGGCAGCCCGAGUGGUGAUCACUAUUAUUGGGUCUAAAGGGUCCGUAGCCGGUUUGAUCAGUCUUUUGGGAAAUCUGACAGCUUAACUGUUAGGCUUCCAAAGGAUACUGUCAGACUUGGGACCGGGAGAGGUAAGAGGUACUACAGGGGUAGGAGUGAAAUCUUGUAAUCCCUGUGUGACCACCAGUGGCGAAGGCGUCUUACCAGAACGGGUCCGACGUUGAGGGACGAAAGCUGGGGGCACGAACCGGAUUAGAUACCCGAGUAGUCC